rnacentral:rRNA from 1 species
UACGUAGGGACCGAGCGUUGUCCGGAUUCAUUGGGCGUAAAGAGCUCGUAGGCGGCCACUCAAGUCGAAUGUGAAACCUCGAGGCUCAACCUCGAGCCUGCAUUCGAUACUGGGCGGCUAGAGUCUGGUAGGGGGAUCUGGAAUUCCUGGUGUAGCGGUGGAAUGCGCAGAUAUCAGGAGGAACACCGAUGGCGAAGGCAGGUCUCUGGGCCACUACUGACGCUGAGAAGCGAAAGCAUGGGGGAGCGAACAGG